rnacentral:rRNA from 1 species
UACGAAGGGGGCUAGCGUUGCUCGGAAUCACUGGGCGUAAAGCGCACGUAGGCGGACUCUUAAGUCGGUGGUGAAAUCCUGGAGCUCAACUCCAGAACUGCCUUCGAUACUGAGAGUCUUGAGUACGGGAGAGGUGAGUGGAAUUCCCAGUGUAGAGGUGAAAUUCGUAGAUAUUGGGAAGAACACCGGUGGCGAAGGCGGCUCACUGGCCCGUAACUGACGCUCAUGCACGACAGCGUGGGGAUCAAACAGG